rnacentral:lncRNA from 1 species
AAUAAAGAAAUUAGCUGUAAUUGUCACGAAGAAGUACUUGUAUUCACGCUAAGGUUGUCCACUUUACGGGAAGAAUAAAUCAGAUUCUCAAUUCGUUUACAUAAUAUAAUACUAUUAAGUCAUAAAUUAAGAAGUCAAUUAACACCUAAGGCAUGUGGAAUACUCAGUGUUUUACUUUUUACUUGUACAAUCUGACGGCCACAGACCAC